rnacentral:rRNA from 1 species
GGCCUAACACAUGCAAGUCGCACGAGAAAGGGCUUCGGCCCCGGUACAGUGGCGCACGGGUGAGUAACACGUGGGUAAUCUGCCCUCGAGCGGGGGAUAACAUUCCGAAAGGAGUGCUAAUACCGCAUAAGACCACGCCUCCGAAAGGAGAAGCGGUCAAAGCUGGCCUCUAUACAUAAGCUAGCACUCGAGAAUGAGCCCGCGGAGCAUCAGCUAGUUGGUGAGGUAAUGGCUCACCAAGGCUUAGACGCUUAGCUGGUCUGAGAGGAUGAUCAGCCACACUGGAACUGAGACACGGUCCAGACUCCUACGGGAGGCAGCAGUGGGAAAUCUUGCGCAAUGGGCGAAAGCCUGACGCAGCGACGCCGCGUGAGUGAUGAAGGCCUUCGGGUUGUAAAGCUCUGUGGGGAGAGAAGAAUAAGUGCAGGCUAAUACCCUGCAUGAUGACGA